UGGACGGAACCUCGCACCUGAGCGCCCAGCCCCGGCUCCGCGCGCCGUCUGCGCUCAGCGGUGUCGCCGUCCUCCCUCCUCUUACGGGGGCUGCCCUCCCUGCAGCAGCCCUGUCCCACCCCCGGGCCCAAGCACCCCGACAUUCCCGCGGGGUCACACUGGACAUCCCCUCCGGUGACAGGGCACUUAGCGGGGAAGAAGAUCUGGACAGAGGUUGGGAGACCCCUCGGAGGAGCGAGGUCAUUUUGUCACUUGGGAACGCAGGCGCCCAGACGGGACACGGCAAGGCUGUGAGGCAGCAGGAGUGGAGCCCAGGCUUCCGGACAACUCCACCCCAGGGGCCCCCGGAUCCCCACGCUCGGCCGCCGGGACUGAGCCCGACCGAGCGCGGUGACCGGGGGCACCCGCCGCCCUCUCCCCACCGCCGCCGACCGCUCAGGACGCGGAGAUUGAGGGACCCGGUCCCCAACAGCUGAGGUCGGCGAGCGGUCCAUGAGGGCCCAGCCUGAGGUCAAGAGAGGAAAAGGAAGAUUCUGGAACGAUGGACCCCUGCGGGUGGAACCCGGCCAGCUUUUCCUGGUGACAGCCAGGUCGGAAAAAAUGAGUGAAGGAAGGAAGAAAUGAACGAACCUCAAAUGAGUCCCUCAGUCCUCACUGGCGGCUGCUGCUGAGGUGGCCCCUAGCAAAGAAGCUGAGACAAGAAACAAAGAGAACUAGAGAUUUCUUUUUUUUUCUUUCUCUCUCUCUCUCUUUUUAAUAAAAAGACAGGCCCCUGUGUUUUCAGGAGGCAGCCAGAAGCAGAACUGGAGUCAGGAAACCGUCCCUGGGCCCCCUGCCACUCACCCCCAGGACCCACAGUGGGGCCUUGGGCCUAACAGCCACUGUCUUUGAAAACACCCUGAAAAGUCACAGUUCACGAAUCUGGGCGGUUAAACAAAAGAAGCCGGGAGUGAGGUUAUAGCCCCCAGCACCUGCCAGCACACAGGUCCUCAGUAAAAGUGCAUCGUGAGUGAACCCCUGCAGCUCGCCAUACUCUGAUUGGCAGCACCCUCAUUUUCCUUUUCUCAUCAUGAAAUAGCUCAAACACCCGCAUUUGACUUUUCUCAUUGUGAAAUUUUCAAACACACGCUAAACUAGGAGAGUAAUGUAAAGAGCCCAUGUGCUCAAGAACAAGCCAAUCCUAACAUCGGGCCACACUUGCUUCAAAUGUUUAAGACAUGAAUAUUGCAAUACAGUUAAAGCCCCUGGAAGCCUUCCUCAUGUCACCCCGAGUACUCUUCCAAAGCAUCCCAUUCCUGUUUUUAUACUAUUACUGCAUAUGCGUGUGUUCAUAAGUCAUACAGAAGAUUUUUACAACUUCCUGUGUGUUCCUGUUUCAUUCUGUAACCCGGUCGGUUUGUCUUGUUUUGCUCAAGAUUAUAAGAUCCAUCUGAUCAUCCAUAUAGCUCUAGUUUAUUCAUUUUAACUAUUAAAUAGCAUUCCG
rnacentral:lncRNA from 10 species